CGGGUCGCCGCGUGCCGGCCG
rnacentral:siRNA from 1 species